UUUGUCUCCCUCUUGAGGACGUUGCCGCGCCUGCGGAGGCUUGACCUGGAGGUGGAUCACCUGAGCCUCACCUGGGCAGGUGAACUGCUCUCCCUCAUCCACACCUGCCCCAGUCUGACCCAUGCUAGUGUUCAGGAGCUCAGGCUGAAGGGGGGAUGUGGAGAGAGUCUCUGCUCAUCUAUCUCUGUGGAGAGGGACAUACACUACCCCUCACUUGUGACUAGCGAGUUCAGACAUCGUGAGGAGUGUGACAGCAGUGGUGUGUGUGCGGAGCUGCAGUUCCCGGGGCCAGCGUGCAGCACCCUCAUACUCACACACUCCCCCGCGCCGGACCACAGCUGGACACAGCUACUCAACGCCUUCCACA